rnacentral:rRNA from 1 species
UACGGAAGGCAGCAGUGGGGAAUAUUGCACAAUGGGCGCAAGCCUGAUGCAGCCAUGCCGCGUGUAUGAAAAAGGCCUUCGGGUUGUAAAGUACUUUCAGUCGUGAGGAAGGUGUUAAGGUUAAUAACCUUAGCAAUUGACGUUAGCGACAGAAGAAGCACCGGCUAACUCCGUGCCAGCAGCCGCGGUAAUACGGAGGGUGCGAGCGUUAAUCGGAAUUACUGGGCGUAAAGGGCACGCAGGCGGUUAAUUAAGUUGGAUGUGAAAUCCCCGGGCUUAACCUGGGAAUGGCAUUCAAGACUGGUUAGCUAGAGUCUUGUAGAGGGGGUAGAAUUCCAUGUGUAGCGGUGAAAUGCGUAGAGAUGUGGAGGAAUACCGGUGGCGAAGGCGGCCCCUGGACAAAGACUGACGCUCAUGUGCGAAAGCGUGGGGAGCAAACAGGGAUUAGAUUAC